rnacentral:rRNA from 1 species
UACGUAGGUGGCAAGCGUUGUCCGGAUUUAUUGGGUUUAAAGGGUGUGUAGGCGGUCUUUUAAGUCAGUGCUGAAAUAUCCCGGCUUAACCGGGAGGGUGGCAUUGAUACUGAAGGACUUGAGUUCAGUCGAGGUAGGCGGAAUUGACGGUGUAGCGGUGAAAUGCUUAGAUAUCGUCAAGAACACCGAUAGUGUAGACAGCUUACUAGGCUGAAACUGACGCUGAGGCACGAAAGUGUGGGGAUCAAACAGG